CAAUGGUAGAGAAUCGAAGUCAACGAUAGUAAAAUUUUGAACGGUGAAAACGAUUGUGUUGAUCGACACGAAAAAAGGUACGAAAGGCAAAUCAUUCUGUUUUGAAAGCAAAGUCAAUCGCGCUUGGCAGCUAACCGGCUCGCGUGGGUGUUAAUUACUCUGUUAAAACCGACUCGCGUUAGUGGGUGUAUUACACGAGAUCGUGAACAUGAAACAUAGACGGAUAUGAGCGAGUAUCGGUUGGCUAACUUAUACUACGCGUAAGGUACGCUGAUAGAUACGGUUUUCGUGAUUUUUUCCCAAGUUGAUACGAAACCUCCCGCGUCUCUCGAUUCAACCUGUCGGCUAUAUACCGAGUAAUAUGUACAUAGUUUCAAGUGGCCGUCACCCGUGGUACAUGUUGCAAAACGGAAAUCUACAUCGAUUCGAUCGUAAAUCUUUCGCGAAUAUGAAAUCUCCGUACGUUCGUUUAUGGUUUGACGUGGAGAUCUACUGCUAUAUGUAACGUGACCUGCACACGCUACUGUGCGGUUAAUCAUGUAUUUGCAGAGUGCAAUAAAGAUUUGUUACACUGGCUUCGACGAAAUCGUACCACGAUCUGCAAAUAACAUCUUAAUUCAAACGAUCAGUACAGCGACAUAAAGAUAAACGAAAUUUCCGAUAAUAACAGACAACCGAAAAGAAAAACAGUCCGUCGAUAGAACAAUUAAUUAAAUCCACACGCUACCCAGGCUCUUGUUGAAGCGGACACUUAUUAACUGCAAACUACGCUCGUCGUAAAAUCUGCAUAAUAACACGGUAGAUUUAAAUGCCCCUUCGUUGAAGCGCGGUUUGCCUUCGAACUUGCAACAUUAACAGUGGCUUUAAACGACGACAGUUUGUCAACGAAAUUAGAAGCAGAGCACGAGACGAGAUAGCCUCCGGUGUGCAUCCUACCGUACGACCCAACCAACCUGCAGGCUAGCUACCGUACGGGGAUGAUUCACGGUCAAGGACGUCGUAGCAACCCCUCCAGCUUUUCUCUGGCGCAACCCUCGCCUUCAUCCACCAACGCCGGCACAGAUUCACGAGGACAAUAAUUCGACGGCACGGCGAGUCCAAAGACGGGUCCAUUCGCUCGAGGACACAGAAAUCGAGAGAGAAAUAGGCAGCACUUUACGCAAGCCAGUACUUUCCACAUAAUUCUCGUCGGAGAUCGACCAGGGACAACCGGAGGAUAAUAUAUCGUCAAAAGGGAUUGGUCGUAUGUUAACCAGCGUUACACCUGCGAGCCGAUGAAGAAACUCCAUGGCCAGCCACCUACGCGCGCAGCCUCGUCCGGGUCUUUUACCAUCUGACCGACGAAUUAGGUAGAUAAAGAUUCACACGGGCUUCGCUGUAUGCUUCUACCUGUUUCCCCGACUCGUUCUUCUGCUUGUUUCGUUUAUAACUUUAGAUAAACUGUUGUCAUCAUCGCUGUAUCAGAUUGCGUUUUGCAUUUUACCAAGUUGAUAUUUAGAAUUUUUUAUUACUGUAAAUGUAAAUGUUCGUGUAAAUAUCCAUGUAUUUGGUUAUUUAAUUAUAACUAUGUACCAUGUUUAUACAAAUGAAGACCACAGAGGAAGAACAUAAUAAACUAUAUUUUCCAUUCUUUAAAGGCUAACAGGUUUAAAAGUCAGUACGUUAUCAUAAUUGUUCUUGGUAUGUAAUUUUCAGAUUAAAUAUGUAUUCCAGCAUCCUCUUCGUAAUUUAACGAAUAUUGCUUGUCACAACGUGAAAACAUUGAAAGAUAUUGAAACAUUGAAAAUAUUAAAACACCAAAAAGUAUUGUUUAUCUAAACAAUUGUAUCCUUGAUCGAACAUAGCUUCUUUCCAGUUUUAACUAUUUUAUAUGAAAAUAUUCUUGUUUAGCCGUAAAGUGAUAUCAAAAUAAAAAGGUCAACAAAACUGUAUUUAUCAUGCUCUUUUCCUACGAUCUUCAAAUGUUUGCGAUCGAAUACGCGUAUUUAUAUUUAUAGAUACCGUGUAGGAAAUCGUUCGUGCAAACACCGUGCACCACCUCUAACCUAAAUUUCGUGGUGGGUUUUUCACCGGCUCCGCCUCAU